rnacentral:rRNA from 1 species
GCUCCUACGGGGGGCAGCAGUGGGGAAUAUUGCACAAUGGGGGAAACCCUGAUGCAGCGACGCCGCGUGAAGGACGAAGUAUUUCGGUACGUAAACUUCUAUCAGCAGGGAAGAAAAUGACGGUACCUGACCAAGAAGCCCCGGCUAACUACGUGCCAGCAGCCGCGGUAAUACGUAGGGGGCAAGCGUUAUCCGGAUUUACUGGGUGUAAAGGGAGCGUAGACGGCCGUGCAAGUCUGAUGUGAAAUACCGGGGCCCAACCCCGGGGCUGCAUUGGGAACUGCCAGGCUGGAGUGCCGGAGAGG